AAGUCCUGAGCCGUUUGGAACCUGGAUCACAUGUGGAUGUGUGCCUGACUUGUUGUUGAUCUGUUUCAGGGGCUCACUGAGGGACUGCACAACCUGGUCUUGAGCUGUGUGAUGGACAGGAGACAAACGUCAGUACAGACAAAUCAGAAAACACAAAAUAUUUUCAUUUAAGACAACAGGAAGAGCAAAUAGACCCUGUGUUACCUCGAGAAGCUUGAGCUGAGCGCCUUCUCAGAUAAACUUUAUGACCAACAAGGGCAGAAACCAAAACCACAACACCAACAGCCAACAUCAGGUACACUAUGAGCUCCGUCUUUGACCAUCCUGGUUCACCUGCAUGAAGAGAGAGAAACAUCAGCUUUGUCUCCAGUUUUGCCCAGUGGCCACUCGCGGUACUGCAGUGAAAAUUCCUGUUUCCCCAUAGACCACUAUGAGAUAAGAGACCUCUGCAAACUGCAAACAAGGUCUGCUCUGACUUUUCUAUUACGAAUGACAUAUUCUUAUGUUUGUAAAACCUUCCUCGAGUCAAGAAAAGAAAUUUGAAACCUGUGAGGGACAAGAGACAACAGGUAACUUUGGCGUGCUGAGGGACACGUUGCUGUUGGCUCCACGAUGGGACACGUUCAAGGCAAACAUCUCUGUGGGGGACAUCAGCAGGUGAUUAGGUUCAUGUCUCUGCUGUCUGGGUGGAGCCACGAAGCACAUCAAGACAAGAAGGCAAACGACGCGAACAGAAAGAAAAAGCUCCCACCACCGGCUACGUGCUUCCAGCGGCGUCAACCGCCUCAGCGGGCGAGCUGUCACUGUCGUCCUC